rnacentral:rRNA from 1 species
UUUUUCCUACGGGGGGCAGCAGUGGGGAAUAUUGCACAAUGGGGGAAACCCUGAUGCAGCGACGCCGCGUGAAGGACGAAGUAUUUCGGUACGUAAACUUCUAUCAGCAGGGAAGAAAAUGACGGUACCUGACCAAGAAGCCCCGGCUAACUACGUGCCAGCAGCCGCGGUAAUACGUAGGGGGCAAGCGUUAUCCGGAUUUACUGGGUGUAAAGGGAGCGUAGACGGCCGUGCAAGUCUGAUGUGAAAACCCGGGGCUCAACCCCGGGACUGCAUUGGAAACUGCAUGGCUGGAGUGUCGGAGG